UCGAUUACUUAUGAUUCCUAGAAU
rnacentral:siRNA from 1 species